ACCGCCGCCCCAAUUGUUGCCGCUAUUAUUGGGCCUAAAGNNUUCGUAACCGGGCCCGUAANUUCCUGGCGAAAUUCCCCNGCUNAACCNUUGGGCUUGCUGGGGAUACUNCGGGCCUUGGGACCGGGAAANGCCGAGGGUAUCCUGGGGUAGGGGUGAAAUNCUAUAAUUCCCAGGAAGACCCCCAGUUGCGAAAGGCGCUCCGCUGGAACGGGUCCGACGGUGAGGGACGAAGGCCAGGGGAGCGAACCGGAUUAGAUACCCGGGUAGUCCUGGCUGUAAAGGAUGCGGGCUAGGUGUCGGGCGAGCUUCGUGCUCGCUCGGUGCCGAAAGGGAAGCCGUUAAAGCCCGCCGCCUGGGAGUACGG
rnacentral:rRNA from 1 species